rnacentral:tRNA from 1 species
GCCAUUUAGGCGGAUUAAGCGUAUUAGAUUUAGGAUCUAAAUUUGAUUUACUAUCAAGUGGUG